UACGGAGGGUGCAAGCGUUAAUCGGAAUUACUAGGCGUAAAGCGUGCGCAGGCGGUUUGUUAAGUCCGCUGUGAAAUCCCCGAGCUCAACUUGGGAAUUGCAGUGGAUACUGGCAAGCUGGAGUAUGGUAGAGGAAGGUGGAAUUCCCGGUGUAGCAGUGAAAUGCGUAGAGAUCGGGAGGAACACCAGUGGCGAAGGCGGCCUUCUGGACCAAUACUGACGCUCAUGCACGAAAGCGUGGGGAGCAAACAGG
rnacentral:rRNA from 1 species